GAACUGCGAUAAUUAAUGUGAAUUGCAGAAUUCAGUGAAUCAUCGAGUCUUUGAACGCACAUUGCGCCCCCUGGUAUUCCGGGGGGCAUGCCUGUCCGAGCGUCAUUGCUGCCCUCAAGCACGGCUUGUGUGUUGGGCUUCCGUCCCUGGCAACGGGGACGGGCCCAAAAGGCAGUGGCGGCACCAUGUCUGGUCCUCGAGCGUAUGGGGCUUUGUCACCCGCUCCCGUAGGUCCAGCUGGCAGCUAGCCUCGCAACCAAUCUUUUUAACCAGGUUGACCUCGGAUCAGGUAGGGAUACCCGCUGAACUUAAGC
rnacentral:misc_RNA from 1 species